UACGUAGGGAGCAAGCGUUGUCCGGAAUCAUUGGGCGUAAAGAGCGCGUAGGUGGCUUUAUAAGUCCGUUGUGAAAGUCAAAGGCUCAACCUUUGAAAGCCGAUGGAUACUGUGAAGCUAGAGUACGGAAGAGGCGAGUGGAAUUCCUGGUGUAGCGGUGAAAUGCGUUGAUAUCGGAAGGAACGCCGGUGGCGAAAGCGCGCGACUGACCUUUUCUGACGCUGAGGCGCGAAAGCCAGGGGAGCGAACGGG
rnacentral:rRNA from 1 species